rnacentral:rRNA from 1 species
AGAGUUUGAUCCUGGCUCAGGAUGAACGCUAGCGGCAGGCUUAAUACAUGCAAGUCGAGGGGCAGCGCGAGGUAGCAAUACUUUGGCGGCGACCGGCGCACGGGUGCGUAACGCGUAUGCAACCUACCUGUUAUUGAGGAAUAACUCGAAGAAAUUCGGACUAAUACCUCAUAUUAUUAUUGAGAGGCAUCUCUUGAUGAUGAAAGAUUAAUUGAUAACAGAUGGGCAUGCGUGUCAUUAGAUAGUUGGUGAGGUAACGGCUCACCAAGUCGACGAUGACUAGGGGUUCUGAGAGGAAAGUCCCCCACACUGGUACUGAGACACGGACCAGACUCCUACGGGAGGCAGCAGUAGGGAAUAUUGGGCAAUGGGAGCAAUCCUGACCCAGCCAUGCCGCGUGCAGGAAGACGGCGCUAUGCGUUGUAAACUGCUUUUGUGCAGGGAUAAUUGAUGAUACGUGUAUCAUCUUGCAGGUACUGUACGAAUAAGCAUCGGCUAACUCCGUGCCAGCAGCCGCGGUAAUACGGAGGAUGCAAGCGUUAUCCGGAUUUAUUGGGUUUAAAGGGUGCGCAGGCUGGAUGAUAAGUCUGCGGUGAAAGGUUAGAGCUUAACUCUGACAUUGCCGUGGAUACUGUUGUUCUAGAUGAUAGUUGACGUUGGCGGAAUAUGUCAAGUAGCGGUGAAAUGCUUAGAUAUGACAUAGAACACCGGUGGGGAAGCCGGCUAACGAAACUAUUCAUGACGCUCAUGCACGAAAGCGUGGGGAUCAAACAGGAUUAGAUACCCUGGUAGUCCACGCAGUAAACGAUGAUCACUCGUUGUCGGCGAUAGACCGUCGGUGGCUAAGCGAAAGUGAUAAGUGAUCCACCUGGGGAGUACGUUCGCAAGUAUGAAACUCAAAGGAAUUGACGGGGGCCCGCACAAGCGGAGGAGCAUGUGGUUGAACCUUACCAGGACUUGAACGCAGGAGGAAUAACGGUGAAAGUCGUUAGUCGCAAGACUUCCUGCGAGGUGCUGCAUGGUUGUCGUCAGCUCGUGCCGUGAGGUGUUAGGUUAAGUCCUGCAACGAGCGCAACCCUUACUGUCAGUUACCAGCAUGUAAUGAUGGGGACUCUGGCGGAACUGCCCGCGCAAGCGUGGAGGAAGGUGGGGAUGACGUCAAAUCAGCACGGCCCUUACGUUCUGGGCGACACACGUGCUACAAUGGGGGGUACAGAGGGCAGCUACACUGCGAAGUGAUGCGAAUCUCAAAAACCUCUCUCAGUUCGGAUCGAAGUCUGCAACUCGACUUCGUGAAGUUGGAUUCGCUAGUAAUCGCGCAUCAGCCAUGGCGCGGUGAAUACGUUCCCGGGCCUUGUACACACCGCCCGUCAAGCCAUGGAAGUUUGGGGUACCUGAAGUACGUGCCCGCAAGGAGCGUCCUAAGGUAAAACAAGUAACUGGGGCUAAGUCGUAACAAGGUAGCCGUACCGGAAGGUGUGGCUG